CUGGCUCAGGAUGAACGCUGGCGGCGUGCUUAACACAUGCAAGUCGAACGGGAAACCUUUUAUUGAAGCUUCGGCAGAUUUAGAUUGUUUCUAGUGGCGGACGGGUGAGUAACGCGUGGGUAACCUGCCUUAUACAGGGGGAUAACAGUCAGAA
rnacentral:rRNA from 1 species